GGGGGGGGGGGUGGGGGAGGGCGAGGGGGAAGCGAGGGGAGGGGGGAGCAGAGGCAAGGGCUCCCGCCCCUCCUCCACCCGCCUCCCUCCCUUCCCCCAUCACGGCUCAGGAACAGCAGAAAUCGGAGAAUAGCGUGAAGAACAAAUUGCUGACUUCCCUACUCGGUUCUCAGUGAUGCUCAGGAAUGGUGUCAAGGGACCCAGAGCAACAGUGUGACAACAUGAAGUUAGCCUCCUCUGAAGGGACAAUGAGCUUGUUUUGCCUCUCUCAGAAUCAGGACAAAGCCUGUUUGGAGUAGGUCCUGCUCCAUCCCACUCUUUCUGCGGGAGCAAGUGGAGGCGGGCAGCUACAAAGGAUUGCAGGUGGAAGCAACUUCUGCUGGCAUCUUGCAGCUACUGCUUACUACCCACACAGACAGAAGAAGCAGAGCCCAGAGGAAAGAGGAGAUCGGGCUGCAGACAGAAGUGGAACACCAGCCCUGGCCCCCACAGCAGUCACUGUAAAGCAGAGGAGAGACACUGGAAACCACUGUCAGUUUUGGGAAUGACGGUUUUACUCCGAGAUCACACUGCAUCUCUCCAAGAUGGCUGACUGAAUAUAGGCCCUGGCAAUUGGCCUUGCUUCACUGAGAACCUUCAGGGUGUGACAUGUGUUCACCUACACAUUAAACUGUCUUGGACUUGUGA